rfam:Schistosoma margrebowiei strain Zambia genome assembly, scaffold: SMRZ_contig0001665
AUCCAGCCGACGAGUCCCAAAUAGAACGAACCGUGCUUCCUGGAU